UAAAAGUUUAUGAUGAAUUCAUAGUUCAACCGAUUUUUAAUGAGGUAUAUUUAAAAUGUCUUUCGCUCCUAUCUGAAUUUUUUU
rfam:Apis mellifera strain DH4 linkage group 9, whole genome shotgun sequence.